rnacentral:rRNA from 1 species
UAUGGGGGGUGCGAGCGUUGUCCGGAAUCACUGGGCGUAAAGGGCGCGUAGGUGGUUUGAUAAGGGUGUGGUGAAAGUCCGGGGCUCAACUCCGGAUCUGCCGUGCCGACUGUCAAACUCGAGGGCUGUAGAGGCAGACGGAAUUCCGGGUGUAGCGGUGGAAUGCGUAGAGAUCCGGAGGAAGACCGGUGGCGAAGGCGGUCUGCUGGGCAGUUUCUGACACUGAGGCGCGACAGCGUGGGGAGCAAACAGG